GACAGAGGGUGCAAACGUUGCUCGGAAUUACUGGCGUAAAGCGCACGUAGGCGGAUCGUUAAGUCAGGGUGAAAUCCUGGGCUCAACCCAGAACUGCCUUUGAUACUGGCGAUCUCGAGUCCGGAAGAGGUGAGUGGAACUCCUAGUGUAGAGGUGGAAUUCGUAGAUAUUAGGAAGAACACCAGUGGCGAAGGCGGCUCACUGGUCCGGUACUGACGCUGAGGUGCGAAAGCG
rnacentral:rRNA from 1 species